UCAUUACACAAAUAUGAAGCCGGACUGGGAUAGGGCCUCGCUGCCUUGCCCGUCUGGCGCCAUAUUCACCCAUGUCUUUUUGCGUACUACUUGUUUCCUUGGCGGGUCCGCCCGCCAAUUGGACCUUAUUCAAACCUUUUUUUCAGUUGCAAUCAGCGUCAGCAAAACAAAUGUAAUCAAUUACAACUUUCAACAACGGAUCUCUUGGUUCUGGCAUCGAUGAAGAACGCAGCGAAAUGCGAUAAGUAGUGUGAAUUGCAGAAUUCAGUGAAUCAUCGAAUCUUUGAACGCACAUUGCGCCCUUUGGUAUUCCAAAGGGCAUGCCUGUUCGAGCGUCAUUUGUACCCUCAAGCUUUGCUUGGUGUUGGGCGUCUUGUCUCUCUCCCGAGACUCGCCUUAAAAUCAUUGGCAGCCGGCCUACUGGUUUCGGAGCGCAGCACAUUAUUUGCGCUCUUGUCCAGCCGCGGUCGCGCGUCCAUGAAGCUUCUUUCAACCUUUUGACCUCGGAUCAGGUAGGGAUAC
rnacentral:rRNA from 1 species